rnacentral:rRNA from 1 species
AGAGUUUGAUCCUGGCUCAGAUUGAACGCUGGCGGCGUGCUUAACACAUGCAAGUCGUGCGAGAAAGGGGACUUCGGUCCCUGAGUAGAGCGGCGCACGGGUGAGUAACGCGUGGAUAAUCUCCCCAGAAGUUCGGGAUAACGGCGGGAAACUGCCGCUAAUACCGGAUACGCUCCAAUUUCGGUUGGGGGAAAGGCGGCCUCUGUUUACAAGCUGUCGCUUCUGGAUGAGUCCGCGUCCCAUUAGCUUGUUGGUGGGGUAAUGGCCUACCAAGGCUACGAUGGGUAGCUGGUCUGAGAGGAUGAUCAGCCACACUGGAACUGAAACACGGUCCAGACUCCUACGGGAGGCAGCAGUGGGGAAUAUUGCGCAAUGGGGGAAACCCUGACGCAGCGACGCCGUGUGAGGGAUGAAGGCUUUCGGGU